AUGUGGCCAUGAAACAGAUGGUCAUAGAAUUGGUUCAGUGGUUGUGAGUGCAGCAACCCAAGAGUGUCUUAUCUGAAAUACCACCAGGAAUGCCUGGACACAGUAGACAAAGGUUGUUCAACUGGACGCCUUAGGAUACAUGCUUCCAAAAACAAAGUAGCUGAAAAGAAACUAGAAUAACAGGAUAUCAGAGCCAGAGGAGCAUUUGGAGAAGUACGGGAAGGAUGAAAUUACUUUUGAUGGAGAGAGCAUUUAGUGUCUCAGAGAGAAGACAGGACAUCAUUCAUCACUUUCAUGAUGGGGCCGGCAGAUACCACCAUGGUGACGUUUGUGGCAGAAGAGGUGGAGCCAGGGACUGGGGAGAAGAAACGCAAACACAUGAUGGGUUAAAAACUGGUGAAAUCGAAUAGGUUUAAUCAGGACUGAGGAAGAACAUGGCAAGAUAAGUUUAUGGUCAGGGUUGGUUGGUGAUCCUCAGUGUUGCUGCGCAGUAGAAGGUGAGUUUGAGGUGAGAGGAACAAGUAGGAAAGAGUGAUCCCCUGAACCACCUCCUCACUUUCUUAGCUUUCAACCCCACCUAGGUUUUGUGAGCCUGGAACUUGGGAGACUGUUCGGUAGCCCAGGUCUCCUAAGAGUGGGUGCAGUGGCUGUGACCCUGGGCUGCUCAGCAUUCAUGUGGAAAUGAAGGAAGGAGGACUGGAUCAAUCCCAUUUGAAAGCAUCCUUCUCUGCAGCCCACACAAUCCUCCAAUGACACUGACAGAGGUGUACCCUCCUAGUGUACUGGGACCAAAAUUCGGAAGUGUCUGCAAACUUGCUUUAACCGUAUGGGAAAUAACCUCUAUCACCUGGAAUUUCCUUGGGACUUUGGAAAAUACAAGAGAAGUAUGAGACUUGGGUCUUCCCUUGGCUGUGUUUAAUUCACUCUUCUAUGGAAUACCAAUGAUUCUCACUAAGACUUUUGCCUUUUUAUAACCACAAUGUAUGCUUUAUGGAGAAGAUUUUACUCUUUGCUCUACUUAGAAAGAAUAAAUAUGAGCAAUGCUUUA
rnacentral:lncRNA from 1 species